rnacentral:tRNA from 1 species
GCCUGAGUAGCUCAGUGGUAGAGCAGCGCUUUCGUAAAGCGCAGGUCGUCAGUUCGAGUCUGACCUCAGGCU